rnacentral:tRNA from 1 species
ACCUGGCUGGCUCAGUCAGUGCAGCAUGAGACUCUUGAUCUCAGGGUCGUGAGUUCAAGCCCCACGCUGGGUG